UAAAUAUGCAUAAAUUCUUCAUACUAGUAGUACAAUUUGUUUUGUUUUCUUUUUCAUGUAUCUAAAUCUGUGUCACAGUGCGUUUAUCUGAUAGAGGUAACGUAAGGUUGAACUUGGUUGCGUCAUGUGACGUCAUCAAUGGUCAUCCGUUCCAUGGGCAGUGGAACCGUCUUUUCUAAAUCACAUCCUUCUGAUAUACUAUCAGUACAUACUGCAACAAGAAUGAGGCUGGUCGCAGUAUUUUUAGUAACAGUGACGUGUUUCAGUGUGUUUAUUCACUGUGACGGGAAGUCUAAAAUGACCCACAGGGGACGUAUUCAGUCGCAUCGAAACCACGUCUUACCGAAGGAAAGCAAUGGCGAAAAGUUGAAGAAAGAAAGGUCAAUCAUCAGUUUCUGUCAGACGCUUGAGUGUCUCCAAAUUCUUCAGAAGCUUGAAAGGCAAAUGAACAAUCAAUCUUUGGGUGUAUACAGUGGGCGAUGGUGACAAUAAUAAAUUUGAUUUUCAGCAAUAGUUUCUUCCUAUCAGAUCAGUUAGUGUUAUAUUAUGAGGCAUUAACCGAAGAAGUUAUAAAACAGUGCGCCCAAAGGACAUUUUUAUCAAGUUAAAUUUUGUCUUGUAAUGAAAGUGCGUUCUGGUGCAAUAUUGGUUCUCGAUCUUAAUAUGUUAGUUUGACACCAUUAAGCCCACCUACAGUGUCACAGGAGAGUUGUAGCUAAUUGCCAAGAAUAGCCACGACUAAUUUUUGACCUAAAGUUCUUUUAGCAUUUAAGAAAUGGCAUGUGCCAACCAGCUUAUAAUUUUACUCAUUAUAUAUGUAGCAAAAUCGAUUGUAAAACGUAUUCUUAGCAGUUAAGUUCAAAAGCGAUAUCCCGAGAUAUUCUUAAAGUCAGCACUGACUUUUGCCAGGAUCAGUAGUAGACAAAAAUGGUAGUCGUUAUUGUUGGCUGCCGACUAAGCUGUACUUUGCCACCAUGCUUCUACAGUUCUUGUAACGCAAGUUAUUUGUCUAUGCAGUAUUUAAUUAGUUGCACAUUGAGAUUAGCAGUAUUAUAUAAACUGUUAUUUUCUUCUUCCGACAAAUAAUAAGACCCUUUUAGUUUGACUUGACACAGACUAUAAUCGCUCCGGCCUAUGUCGAUAUUGCAAUGGUCAGUAAUUAUAUAGUGCACGCUAAAAAUGAAUGUAAAUCGAGGAAUGGUCUGACAAUAAUGAAAGUCGCCGUCAACACAGUGAGACAGUCUGUUUUAUUACACAUACAGUCUAAUCAUACUCUUUAAGAUACAGAUACAAUGUACAUAUUAUCAUGAAAGAAAACAAGUGUUCAUUCAGUAGAUAGAACUCUGAAUAUGCUUUCUAUAGUGAUGUUAUUAACUCUGGCAUUGUUUAGCAAGGUCUGGCUUAAAUAGAUAUGCCUUCAGAUUUAUGUCUUUAUUUUCCGCCAUUGUAGAUUCAGCUCCCCCCGUAUGUGUUCCUACUGAAAAACAUUUACUUCAGAAUUGUGUGUUCUCAUUUUUGAUAAACAUUGCUAAGUAACUUUUAGCUCACCAGGGUGCAACGUAUUCAUAUUGACCGAUUGUUAUCACCUACCGUGUGUCCAUUGUCCGUAUGGUAACCGUUUCCUUCAAACGCCAUCUUCUCUGAUUCUAUCUGAAGCAAGUGUUGUUGACGGUUGACUUAGAUGUUCAUUGGAUGGCCAUCGUCAAUCAGUUUGAAAUAAUUAAUCGAAAAAGCUCCAUGAGUGACUUAUCUAUCAAAAUUAUUCAGAUUAUUCCGAUUCGUCGAAAAACCUGACCACCAAAGGGCGUGGUCACAUUUGUUUUCAUGCACGUAUAGAUUUUAAAAUUUCAAAUGUUCUCGCCAGAAACUGCUACCCAAUCUUAAAAUCAAUUCACACAUUCACUAGUGAGCUUUUGUUGACCCUCUACCUAGACUGUUGAAAAAGCAAGACCUUCUCCACUAACACUGUUGGUCCGCUUUUUAAAUAACUUCAUGCGACCCUAGAUCAUUACUGUUCAACUUACUAGUAUUUUGACUCGUCAAAAGCAUUCCCGUCAUUGCUAAAUAUAGGAGAAUCUUUAAACAAAACAUGCCGUCCUAACCCCCUGGUAUGAUUUGAAAUAUUUCAUAGAAAUGCCUACUUUCGAGAUAGUACAAACUGUUCUUAAAAAUAUCAACAUCGCCAUCUGCACUGAACGUAGAAGAAAUCUUGGAACGAUAACUUGUCCUGAUUUGAAAUAAUUUAAUAGAAAUAGGUCGUUCAACGAGAAAACCUGUAUUAAUGGCAUGAUAUGAUUUCAGUUAUUUGAAUAACCUAUUUGUCAGGGAAAAAUAUUCAAAUAACAG
rnacentral:lncRNA from 1 species